GAGAGAGAGAGUUGUGUGAAGCUGAUAGUCUUAAUUAGCUUGGGAGCAACUCAUUUGGCAAUGGCUUGAAUGUAACGGACGUUCAUUAACAUAAAAUAGUUGCACACUAUUGCAUUAAUCAUAGUUCUGUACUCUGCUGUUA